rnacentral:rRNA from 1 species
AGUGAACGCUGGCGGUAGGCCUAACACAUGCAAGUCGAACGGCAGCACAGUAAGAGCUUGCUCUUACGGGUGGCGAGUGGCGGACGGGUGAGGAAUACAUCGGAAUCUACUUUUUCGUGGGGGAUAACGUAGGGAAACUUACGCUAAUACCGCAUACGACCUACGGGUGAAAGCAGGGGAUCUUCGGACCUUGCGCGAUUGAAUGAGCCGAUGUCGGAUUAGCUAGUUGGCGGGGUAAAGGCCCACCAAGGCGACGAUCCGUAGCUGGUCUGAGAGGAUGAUCAGCCACACUGGAACUGAGACACGGUCCAGACUCCUACGGGAGGCAGCAGUGGGGAAUAUUGGACAAUGGGCGCAAGCCUGAUCCAGCCAUACCGCGUGGGUGAAGAAGGCCUUCGGGUUGUAAAGCCCUUUUGUUGGGAAAGAAAUCCAGCCGGCUAAUACCUGGUUGGGAUGACGGUACCCAAAGAAUAAGCACCGGCUAACUUCGU